rnacentral:rRNA from 1 species
GCCUCCUACGGGGGGCAGCAGUGAGGAAUAUUGGUCAAUGGGAGAGAUCUUGAACCAGCCAAGCCGCGUGAGGGAAGACGGCCCUAUGGGUUGUAAACCUCUUUUGUCGGAGAACAAAACCCGGGACGUGUCCCGGACUGCGUGUAUCCGAAGAAAAAGCAUCGGCUAACUCCGUGCCAGCAGCCGCGGGAAUACGGAGGAUGCGAUCGUUAUCCGGAUUUAUUGGGUUUAAAGGGUGCGUAGGCGGUCCGUUAAGUCAGCGGUUAAAUUGCGGGGCGCAAACCC